AUUGAACGCUGGCGGCAGGCUUAACACAUGCAAGUCGAGCGGGGGAAGGUAGCUUGCUACCGGACCUAGCGGCGGACGGGUGAGUAAUGCUUAGGAAUCUGCCUAUUAGUGGGGGACAACAUCUCGAAAGGGAUGCUAAUACCGCAUACGUCCUACGGGAGAAAGCAGGGGAUCUUCGGACCUUGCGCUAAUAGAUGAGCCUAAGUCGGAUUAGCUAGUUGGUGGGGUAAAGGCCUACCAAGGCGACGAUCUGUAGCGGGUCUGAGAGGAUGAUCCGCCACACUGGGACUGAGACACGGCCCAGACUCCUACGGGAGGCAGCAGUGGGGAAUAUUGGACAAUGGGGGGAACCCUGAUCCAGCCAUGCCGCGUGUGUGAAGAAGGCCUUAUGGUUGUAAAGCACUUUAAGCGAGGAGGAGGCUACUUUAGUUAAUACCUAGAGAUAGUGGACGUUACUCGCAGAACAAGCACCGGCUAACUCUGUGCCAGCAGCCGCGGUAAUACAGAGGGUGCGAGCGUUAAUCGGAUUUACUGGGCGUAAAGCGUGCGUAGGCGGCUUAUUAAGUCGGAUGUGAAAUCCCCGAGCUUAACUUGGGAAUUGCAUUCGAUACUGGUGAGCUAGAGUAUGGGAGAGGAUGGUAGAAUUCCAGGUGUAGCGGUGAAAUGCGUAGAGAUCUGGAGGAAUACCGAUGGCGAAGGCAGCCAUCUGGCCUAAUACUGACGCUGAGGUACGAAAGCAUGGGGAGCAAACAGGAUUAGAUACCCUGGUAGUCCAUGCCGUAAACGAUGUCUACUAGCCGUUGGGGCCUUUGAGCUUUAGUGGCGCAGCUAACGCGAUAAGU
rnacentral:rRNA from 1 species